rnacentral:lncRNA from 1 species
CGUAACUUUAGGCCAAUCCCUUCACUUCUGGAGCCUCAGAUCCAGGAAGUUCUCGAAGACCAGAGAUGAAGAAGUUUUACUCAAGAACUCAACUCCCCAUUGGACUGAUCUUUUAAAGCUGACCAGUCUGGAUGCUCCUCCUUGUGGUCAGUGUCCAGGGUGAGUACACCAGAGCCUGCAGUGGACCAGGGACCCUCUUCUCCUGGGGAAGCAGAGGGUCUGGAUGACAGAGGACAACACGGAGGGCCUCUUAGUGUUUGAUGAAUAAACAUCAGAGUCGAGUUUCAGAGCUGUCACUCUGCAGACCUUCAGUGCAGGAGAGGCCAGGCCUACCGCUCAUCAGAUGGUUACUGAUGAGCAACCCCAGCGACCCAGAGGCUGCUGGUAUUUCGCCUCAUGGCAGAAGCUCCUUCCUGGUCCUCUGCAGGCUGUGAAUGGGGCCUUCAUGAAGCCUAGACUUGGAAGUAAAGAAGAGAAUUCAUGGUACUUUCGGAAACACAUGUUCUUUGAAGGACGAAUUUUUUGUUUUCAUUUCAAACAGCCCUGCCUGGUGACGAGUGGUGAGGAGAGGUGCCCUGUUUUCCAUCCUGACACCUAUUUCCAGGUGGGGGCAGGGAGGACUCCAAUCUGAAAUGUUAUUUCAAACCCUUUCCGGGCCUUGCGCUCCAUUUCCAGCCCACAUGCCUCAAAGCAAAGCAGGAUUCCCAUUACAUCGUGUUGCCCUUUCUACUCUGAGCACUUUUCAAAGUGGGAAGACCUAGCCUGCUUCAGCACUCUCCCAUCUGUCCCCGUAAAUACAGUCUCAUGGUCUGAUGUGGAGUUUAAAUAAACAGGCUUGGUAGGCACUGAUGGCCACACUCCUGAUAGGCCAGCUUGCUAAGGGCACCAAACUCUAGGCUACUCUGCCCUGCCCUCCAGAGAGACAAGAUGAAACUAGUGUUUUACAAAUGCUCCCGCUUUUUGCUAUCUGAGACACAUUCUGAAAAGGAGCAGGCCAGCAAAGUCCUGUCAUCUGACAAGGUGCGGACAGAGAUGGAUGACAUGCUCCCUGCCAGAGAAGGCCACAUUCAGACACUCCCAGAUAGCCAGCUGCCACUUUAUUAACAGCGAAUAUCCCCAUCUGAGUCAGGCUGGGAAAGAAAAUAUUUAUGCUUGCUUGUCAGAAGGACCUUCACUUUUCUUCAGGGGGAGCCAGCUAUGGUGCUAGUUCAGGGCUGAAGGGGUGUGACAUGUCUGUGCAUCUGCUCCAGGCCUGGCUGCAGCUCGGGGUUGAUGAAGACUCCCAAAUAUCUCCAGGACAGCUCUGGGAAGGGAUGAAGGGGGGCUUUGGGAGAGCAGGAGCUGCAGUCAGAGAUCGGUGCUCAUGCACAUUCAACAAUCUUUCCAUGAACUGAAAAACAUGUAGUUCCAUUAUUCAGAGAAGCAACUUAGUGGCCCUGAGUGAGAGGAAGAGAACUUUGCAUUGUCUGAAAAUGUCAACACUGAACCUGAGCCUGUCAUUUAAAUUGG